UACAGAGGAGCCAAGCGUUGUCCGGAUUGACUGGGCGUAAAGCGCACGCAGGCGGUUGCGCGCGUGGGGUGUGAAAUCUGGCCGCUUAACGGCCAGGCGCCAUCCCAUACGGCGCGACUGGAGUGAUGCAGAGGUCGAUGGAAUUGCCGGUGUAGUGGUGAAAUGCGUAGAGAUCGGCAGGAACACCCAGGGGGAAACCAGUCGACUGGGCAGCACCUGACGCUGAGGUGCGAGAGCGUGGGGAGCGAACCGG
rnacentral:rRNA from 1 species